rnacentral:lncRNA from 1 species
UGUAUUUCCUUCUUAUAACUCUGUGUGCAAUUCUGUUUCUCUGUCACAACUUGGUGGAUCCAUUCUUAUCUAAAAUGCUUAUAUAUAAACAGAUGAAUACAAGGUUCGUAGUACUCUUGCAGUUUGGAAUACCAAAAAAGCAUGUGUUUGAGUAGUAUAGCGUUUACAUGUCAUUUUCUUGUUUUCUGUUUCUGAUCACCUUAUUAUAUCAUAAUAUAUGAGUUGAUAUGAAUCAAAUAUUAAAAGUAUUAUUAUUGUCUAACUAUUUAAGUACCUCCCUUCGAACAGACCUUGAACACAUGACAAGGAAACGAGGAUAUUUCCGAGUCCCGGUUUCACUGUCUUCGAGGAUGUAGGAGAGCCACCACCAUCGUUACCUCCUUCCACAACCAAAGGUCUUAGGUAUCUGUUUUCGUUUCCUAAUAGUUUUCAUUUGCAGAACAUGAUUAUAUAUCCCAUUAAGACAAGAGUAAAAUAGAUUAUUGUUAUGAUUGUGAAUGAUUGCUUACAUUUGACAUUGUUAUGUCAAUAUAUGUCGCUUCCAAAAACAUCAAUAUAUGAUACUUUUUAUGACCUCAUAAGUCAUAACUAGAUGAAUGAGAAAAUAAUUGUCUACUGCUUUAUCAUUGGUUAUCGUGCAUUGCAUGUGCAGUUUUACUAGUUUCCCUGGUCUGCUUUCUAAGCCUUACCAUCAUUUCCUUCUUGCAGGCGGCAAUGGCAAGAGUGAAGAGGAAGAGGAUGAGAAGAAACUUGUGGUUCUCAUCCAAUCUUUGUCGAACUCUCUUUAUGUGCCAUUGUGCACUUGUUGGGUCCUUUUUUUGUGCACUUGCGCUUGCAAAAGUAUUCUGUUAUGCACAUGUAAAAUUAUUUUGAUGUGCACUUGUUAGGCCUUGAACCUUAAUGCGUGGAGUCGAUGGAUGAUGUAUUGUAUUUGAUGUGAUAUGCUACUGAAAUGAA